AAUAUACUUUUCCAUUGAGAGCCCUGGCUAAAGGAUCUGCCCACAAUGCCUAUUUUGGAAUUUCAUGAGAGUCAUUGUGCACACUUCCUUCGCGGUAUGGAUAGAAUUUCACAAAAUAUAAAAGAAAUGCAAGGAAAAUUAGAAGCAGAGCGCAGUAACGCAUGAACUUCAACAAACAUGCGGUACGAAGGCAGAAAAACAGAAAGACAAAUACAGACGUACUCAAAAAACGAAAUGCCAUUGAAGCUGCAGCGUGUCAAGUGAAAUCACAAAAACCUGGCACUUUUCAACAGAUGGGUCGGAGGCUAGCACCAUAUUGCAGUGUGGUGAUUCAAUAUGUCCACGAUAGUUGCGUCCAAAUCUAAGUAAAACCCAGCAAAGUAGAAAUGCACCUCCUUUUGAAACAUUAGGCAUGCGCAUGCCUAACCCCUCUGCAACAGACGUUAGAUCAUGCGUGCCAUUUGUAAACAUUAAACAUUCAAUUCAAUUUUAUGCUCUUUUUAUAUAUUUU